GUUGUGGCUCAGUGGUAGAGCGGUUGCCUAGCACGUGUGAGGCCCUGGGUUCAAUUCUCAGCACCACA
rnacentral:tRNA from 1 species